GUACUGUACUCCAGUACCAGUUUAUGAAUUAAAAAAAAAAAAAAGAUUGGCAUAAAUGAAAUAGAAAGCUGUAUAAAAAUGUGCACAAAUGUUAAAACAGAGAAAAAUUGACAGUAGCCCAAAUGUUCAAAUGAAAGAAACUAUUGAAAUUAUGCUACAUAGAUUUGAUGGCAUAUAUAGUCACUAAAAUAAUUAUUUUGAAAGAAAUAUGCUCACAGGGGUUAAGUGGGUAGGGCGGGGGGGAAAGGAUUGAA
rnacentral:lncRNA from 1 species